AUGGGACAAGCCCCCUCGAGGGCAUCACUAAGACACCCUGCCUGCUGGCCACAGACCCGGCAGCUCAGAAACACGGCCCCCAUCGACAGGCCCAAGAUGGAUCUGAAAGAAGGGGCGAUUUUCAGAAAUGUCACAUCCAGCAGGGGUUCGACGAGAACAUUGCUGUACGUACGGGGUGAACAAAGCUCAUCAAGGCCUGGUGGUGGGAAGCAUGGCCCGGUUUUUCUGCACAACAUUCAACCCCGACUUCUCCUUCCAUCUCGUCGCAUGUCCUCUGUGAAGGAUCAAGGCAGGGGCUGAGACAGCAGAGGUCAAGUCACGUUGUCGCUUUUGCGGUGUUCUGCUAGCAUCACAGGGAUGCCCGUGACACUGGCGUGAGAACAUGACUGUUCUGUUCCAUUGGCCACCGGAGAACAGAAGGGCACGUGUGCCGGCACGGACUGCGUGGCUCAGAUCACAGACGGGGAGGCUGAGGCCCGGAAGAAAACGGCUCCACUCUUUUUUCUAUCUCCUGACCUAUCAGCCACAAGCAAGGGCCGCUGUCUCUGUGGCCACUGCGCCAGCCCUUGGCUGAGCCGGGGAGGAAGCCUGCAGAGACCUCGCGGCCCUGCUGUGGGGCAGGGGUGGGACUCCCGGCCACAGUGAGUGUGGAGCUCCCAUAGGGCUCUGGGAAGAAGCCUGAGGCGCUGCUUGACCCGCUGUGGUCCCCUGAGCUGGAAUUCUUCCCGAUGGCCUCACGGUGGCCUUGGACCACCUGCAUCCCAAGCCCUGGGACUCUCUUAACCUUCAGAGGCCCCCCUGCACAGGCCAGCUGUCGCACAGCAGCUUUCUUGCAGAUUCUCAGGCUGGAACAGGAGCAGCACUGGGCCAGAUGAGGGCUCAACAAAUGUUCUCUCUAAAGGGCGGGGCAGGCAUAUUCCAGGCUUUGGAUGCCCCAGGGCCCUGGGGCCCUGCAGCAUGACAGCAGCUGUGGACAGUCUGUGAGUGGGUUUGUCGCUCACGGACCUCUGGGCUGGACCGCUGGGUCGACCCUGAGGGCCUGGAGUCGGAACCCUGCGUAAGUUGGUCUCCUUUACUCUCAUCUGAUGAGGGGAGACUCUGCAUGAGACCUGGGAGACCUGCUGGCAGCUGUGGGGUGAGGGCAGGCUCUGCACUCAUCAGGCUGUAGCACUGCCAGGCCCCUACCUUCCAGGAACUCAGUUUCCCCAUCUCAUACCAGUUGAUCCCUCCGCCCUCGAGCAGCCUCUUUCUCUGCCAUCUGCCGCCUCCACCACCUCUGCUGCCACCUGUCCAGGCCUCC
rnacentral:lncRNA from 1 species